rnacentral:rRNA from 1 species
UACGGAGGGGGCAAGCGUUAUUCGGAAUUAUUGGGCGUAAAGGGCGCGUAGGCGGCUAGAUGUGUCAAAGGUGAAAUCCCUCGGCUCAACUGAGGAACUGCCUUUGAAACUGUCUGGCUUGAGGCCGGGGGAGGGUAGCGGAAUUCCCAGUGUAGCGGUGAAGUGCGUAGAUAUUGGGAGGAACACCAGUGGCGAAGGCGGCUACCUGGACCGGUUCUGACGCUGAGGCGCGAAAGCGUGGGUAGCAAACAGG